rnacentral:rRNA from 1 species
UACGUAGGUGGCAAGCGUUGUCCGGAAUUAUUGGGCGUAAAGCGCGCGCAGGUGGUUUCUUAAGUCUGAUGUGAAAGCCCACGGCUCAACCGUGGAGGGUCAUUGGAAACUGGGGAACUUGAGUGCAGGAGAGAAGAGUGGAAUUCCACGUGUAGCGGUGAAAUGCGUAGAUAUCUGGAGGAAUACCGGUGGCGAAGGCGGCAUCCUGGACCAUUACUGACGCUGAGGCGCGAAAGCUAGGGGAGCAAACGGG